rnacentral:lncRNA from 1 species
UAAUUUAAAAGGGGAUAUAAAAUAUCUAAAUCUUACUUAACGAGUAUCAAAUUAAAAGGGCAUGCAAAAUAAUAAAACCUAAUUAAACUAAAAAGAAAGAAAUAAAGCUCGAACCCUGGACCUCUAUGUUGCAGUGAGGGGGGAGCUACCAACGAGCCAUGUUGGUCCAUUCAUUAUUUAUUCUCCUUCAUUAAAAUAUAUAUUAACUCUACAUGGAUUUUU